UACGUAGGGGGGCAAGCGUUGUCCGGAUUUACUGGGCGUAAAGAGCGUGUAGGCGGCCACGCAGGUCCCGUUGUGAAAACUGGAGGCUCAACCUUCAGACGUCGACGGAAACCGUGUGGCUAGAGUCCGGAAGAGGAGAGUGGAAUUCCUGGUGUAGCGGUGGAAUGCGCAGAUAUCAGGAGGAACACCGGUGGCGAAGGCGGGUCUCUGGGCAGUAACUGACGCGAGGAGCGAAAGCGUGGGAGCGAACAGG
rnacentral:rRNA from 1 species